ensembl:processed_transcript
UUCAGGUGUAUCCUGACCUACAGCCACAGAACUUCAGAGGCUCAACGUGGGGUUUUCCUUGGUAACUUAGAAGGCUUGGGAUAAAAGUAAGGAUGCCCUUGUCAGGUGGGUAAUAUAAUUGAUCAUCCUAUUUUGUAGCAGAGCAACUGAUUCUUGGAGAAUUCCUUGCCUGGAUUCACACAAAUCCUACAUGACUGAGCAAAGACUCCAGAGAGUGGAGCAUGACACCCCCAAAUAUGACACCUAAGCAUACAGUGCAUGAUGACCCUUCCACCUCUAAAGACCCAGCCAUGAAAGCAUAACCGUCUCUCCUCCUCUGAAGGUGGCUGUAAGACCCACUUUCCCAGGAGGAAGGAGACUAGUGAAGAUCCUGAGCAUCCCUGCUGAGCCAUUUGCUGCCAGAGGCUAGCACUCCACUCCUCUUGUUUGUCUGUCUAAAAAUGCAGUUUCUUCCGGGGCUUCACUUUCUGAAGGCUCCCGAGUCACUUAAAACUUAAACUAAAUGAAGAUGUUAUGCUUUU